rnacentral:misc_RNA from 1 species
GGGGUUUCCGGUUGUUUGGAGUUGCUGUUCGUUGUUGGAAAAGAGUGGUUUUUGGUGGUUUGGGUCGGAAAAGGGAGGAGAAACGGGUAGUGAUAGCUAGCUGUUGUUUCGAGAAGCACAUGGUGAGGUUUCACCAGAAAAAUGGGGAAGAGGGAUGAAGCAGGAAGUGAUUUUGGUUGGCCGGAGCUUCAUCGGAAAAUAUGAGUUGCUUUAGC